CUCAGAGAGACAGUACCUUUUGCUGAGUCCAGCAUAUGGCUAACAGGAGCUAUGUCAGCAGCUGAGACCACAGCAAGUCCUGAAGCCAACUGGAUUAGGAAGCCAUUGUAUGGAUUGUUUCAAUAUAAUUCCAGUAUGAUUGGACUAGAAUCAUUAGCUGAUCCCUCAGAUACCUGGGAAAUUAUAGAGACCAUUGGGAAAGGCACUUACGGUAAGGUCUAUAAGGUCGCCAAUAAGAAAGAUGGGAGUCUGGCAGCAGUAAAGAUUCUGGAUCCUAUCAGUGAUGUAGAUGAAGAAAUUGAAGCAGAAUAUAAUAUUUUGCAGUUUCUUCCCAAUCAUCCUAAUGUUGUUAGAUUUUAUGGGAUGUUUUACAAAGCAGAUCAAUAUGUGGGAGGACAGCUCUGGCUAGUACUUGAGCUGUGCAAUGGAGGUUCUGUCACAGAGCUUGUCAAAGGCCUGCUGAAGUGUGGCCAACGGUUGGAUGAAUCUAUAAUCUCAUACAUCUUAUGUGGUGCUCUCUUGGGCCUUCAGCAUUUACACAAUAACCGGAUCAUUCAUCGUGAUGUGAAAGGGAACAACAUUCUCCUGACAACAGAAGGUGGAGUCAAGCUCGUUGACUUUGGUGUUUCAGCCCAGCUCACCAGCACACGGCUGCGUAGAAACACCUCCGUGGGAACACCCUUUUGGAUGGCACCUGAGGUCAUUGCUUGUGAACAACAGUAUGACUACUCAUACGAUGCGCGAUGUGACGUAUGGUCCUUGGGAAUAACAGCUAUUGAACUGGGGGAUGGAGAUCCUCCUUUAUUUGACAUGCAUCCGGUGAAAACCCUUUUUAAGAUUCCAAGGAAUCCUCCUCCUACUUUGCUACAUCCUGAAAAAUGGUGCAGAGGAUUCAACCAUUUCAUUUCACAGUGUCUUAUCAAGGAUUUUGAAAAGCGUCCUUCAGUCACCCAUCUUUUGGAGCAUCCAUUUAUUAAACAAGUACAUGGUAAAGAUAUGUCUCUGCAAAAGCAGCUGGCUGAGCUAAUCCAAGAACAGCAGCAACUAGGCUCCAUAGCCAAAACAAGGUACUGUACAACAUAUAUGCUCCAGCCCUCCUUCACCACCCUAAUUGUAGAAGCACAAGUUGAAACUUUGAAUGCACAGACAUGUACUGUUUCAAAUGAUUGUAUUAAUGCAUUGACUAGCAGUAUUAUUUGCAAUAAGUGCUGCAUGCCAUGUGAAUGCAAGAAAUAUGUUUUCCCAUUGACAGUUUUUAAAGCUAAUUUGAUCAGCCAUAAUGCAACCUUCUCCUUAGCCUUCUUUCUCCCACUGAACUCUUUCUCCAAGCUUUACCAUGGUGUGAAGCGUUCAUCAAAUCCCCCCCACAUAUUUGCCUCUGCAGAUGCUGCCUACCAAAGUAUGGUUACCUUCAGCAAAGAUCAGUGCAUUAUCAUCAGUGGGGAAAGUGGUGCUGGAAAGACAGAAAGUGCCCAUCUGAUUGUCCAACAUUUGACCUUCUUGGGAAAGGCCAAUAACCGUGCUUUGCGUGAGAAAAUUCUUCAGGUGAAUCCUCUGGUUGAAGCAUUUGGGAAUGCCUGCACUGCCAUCAAUGACAACUCAAGUCGCUUCGGAAAAUACCUGGAAAUGAUGUUUACACCUACAGGAGCUGUAAUGGGGGCAAAGAUUUCUGAAUAUCUACUUGAAAAAUCAAGGGUCAUAAAACAGGCUGUGGGAGAAAAAAAUUUCCAUAUAUUUUAUUAUAUUUAUGCUGGCCUUUAUCACCAGAGGAAACUUUCUGAAUAUAGACUUCCCGAUAAAAAGCCUCCUAGAUAUAUUGAUAAUGAAACUGGAAGAGUCAUGCAUGAUAUUGUUACUAAAGAUUCCUAUGGAAGACAGUUUGAAGCAAUUCAGCAUUGUUUUAGAAUUAUAGGAUUCACUGACGAGGAAGUGUACUCAGUGUACAGAAUUCUGACUGGAAUCUUAAAUACUGGAAAUAUUGAGUUUGCUGCCAUUUCUUCACAACACCAAACAGAUAAAAGUGAGGUUCCCAACCCAGAAGCCUUAGAUAAUGCUGCUGCACUACUAAGUAUUGGGUCAGAAGAACUUCAAGAGGCCCUAACCUCCCAUUGUGUUGUAACACGAGGGGAGACUAUUAUCCGAACAAACACAGUGGACAAAGCAGCUGACGUGCGAGAUGCCAUGUCUAAAGCACUUUAUGGCCGGCUCUUCAGCUGGAUCGUAAAUCGUAUUAAUACGCUGCUUCAGCCAGAUAAAAAUAUAUGCAAUGCUGAAAAUGGGAUGAAUGUUGGAAUACUAGACAUAUUUGGAUUUGAGAACUUCGCAAGAAAUUCCUUUGAACAGCUGUGCAUAAAUAUUGCUAAUGAACAGAUCCAGUUUUAUUUCAAUCAACAUAUCUUUGCACUUGAGCAGAUGGAAUAUCAGAGUGAGGGAAUUGAUGCUGCUACAGUGGAGUAUGAGGACAACCGUCCACUUCUAGAUAUGUUCCUCCAGAAACCCAUGGGUCUCCUGUCUCUACUAGAUGAAGAAAGUCGAUUUCCUCAGGCAACAGACCUAACUUUAGUUGAUAAAUUUGAAGAUAACUUACGAUGCAAAUACUUUUGGAGACCAAAAGGAGUAGAACUGUCAUUUGGUAUUCAGCACUAUGCUGGAAAGGUUUUAUAUGAUGCCUGUGCAUUCCUUGAGAAGAACAGAGACACUCUUCCUGCUGAUGUAGUAGUGGUGUUGCGAACCUCAGAGAACAAACUUCUUCAGCAGCUGUUCUCUAGCCCAUUAACAAAAACAGGUAACUUGGCACAAGCAAGAGCCAGAGUGACAGCAGCAUCUAGGUCUUUGCCUCUACAGCUUAGUACUGGGCGUAUCAAGGUUGACACAAUGGAAGUUAUGCGACACCCUGAGGAAACAACUAACAUGAAGCGGCAAACUAUGGCUUCUUAUUUUAGGUAUUCCCUCAUGGAUCUUUUAUCCAAAAUGGUUGUUGGACAGCCUCACUUUAUCCGCUGCAUUAAACCUAAUGAUGAUCGAGAAGCACUGAUGUUUUCUCAUGAGAGAGUUCUACUGCAGCUACAAUACACUGGAAUUCUGGAAACUGUCAAAAUACGUCAAAAAGGGUAUUCUCAUCGCAUCCUCUUUGAAGAGUUUGUGAAAAGGUAUUAUUACCUUGCAUUCAAGGCACACGAGACUCCCCUUGGUAGCAGAGAAAAUUGCCUUGCCAUUUUGGAGAAAUCUAAACUAGACAACUGGAUUCUUGGGAAAACCAAGGUUUUUCUAAAGUAUUAUCAUAUAGAGCAGUUAAACUUGUUCCUGCGAGAAGUUAUAGGGAGGGUGGUGGUCAUGCAAGCCUAUAUCAAGGGAUGGCUUGGAGCAAGGAGGUACAAGAAAGUCAAAGAGAAAAGAGAAAAUAGUGCUGUUACCAUACAGUCAGCCUGGAGAGGAUAUGAAGCUCGCAGGAAGUACAAGGAAAUAAGGAACAGAAGAACUGAUGCUGCUAUACAUAUUCAAGCAGGUAAUUAUUUCAAUUGCCAACACCUAUUUUGCUGUGGACGUUCACAGCACCUGGCACAGCUUAAAACUAAAUUGUGUUAUGUUACUGUAGGUUCAGAAAACUGUCUUGAACAGAAGCUGAGAACACCUCGUCGACGAUGUCAGCAGCCCAAAAUGCUGAAUAGCCCUGAGGACAACAUGUACUAUAACCAGUUAAACGGAACUCUAGAAUAUCAAGGGAGCAAGAGGAAGCCAAGAAAACUUGGGUAA
ensembl:lncRNA